UCAAAUGGAGAGUUUGAUCCUGGCUCAGGAUGAACGCUGGCGGCAUGCCUAAUACAUGCAAGUCGAACGGACCGAAGGGAAAGCUUGCUUU
rnacentral:rRNA from 1 species